UACGAAGGGUGCAAGCGUUACUCGGAAUUACUGGGCGUAAAGCGUGUGCAGGUGGUCUUUUAAGUCUGCUGUGAAAUCCCCGGGCUCAACCUGGGAAUGGCAGUGGAUACUGGAAGGCUGGAGUGCGGUAGAGGGUAGUGGAAUUCCCGGUGCAGCGGUGAAAUGCGUAGAGAUCGGGAGGAACACCAGUGGCGAAGGCGGCUACCUGGACCAGCACUGACACUCAGACACGAAAGCGUGGGGAGCAAACAGG
rnacentral:rRNA from 1 species